AUCAUUUCUCAGCCUUUUGGCUAAAAUCAAGUGUAGUAUCUGUUCUUAUCAGGUUAUUAUCUGAUAGUCCUCUAUCCGAGGAUAAUAUAUUAAAUGGAAUUUUGGAGCAGGGAGGUGGAACGGGAGCCUGUUCCGUCCCCUCCAUGCAUCCACCUGGUAUUACAGUACUUCCAGGAACAGUGCACCCCCC
rnacentral:snRNA from 1 species